CGGAAACCCAGCUCUGCAGGGUGGGGCCGGGCUUUGCCUCCUAGAAGAGUUCCCAGGAUGCAGCUUCGACACAGACACGCCCAGGGACAGAGCACAGACAUCCCCCACAGCCUCACUGUGUGCUUGACUCGCCAGCUGCCUGCCAGGAUCUUUCACUGGAACCACCCAAAGGAGACUAGCAGCCUCCUGAGUCCCGGCAAAGGGGACCAGGAUGUGGGAUUUCACUGAGAAUUGCUUUGGCAACCCGCUCGCAGGCAGAGCUCAGCUGCUCUUCUCCAGGACACCUCAC
rnacentral:lncRNA from 1 species